GGCUCAGGACGAACGCUGGCGGCGUGCUUAACACAUGCAAGUCGAACGGAGUUUCUUGGAUCAAGACUUCGGUCAAGUGAAUUGAAACUUAGUGGCGGACUGGUGAGUAACGCGUGAGGAACCUGCCUUUCAGAGGGGGACAACAGUUGGAAACGACUGCUAAUACCGCAUAAGCGCACAGUACCGCAUGGUACAGUGUGAAAAACUCCGGUGGUGUGAGAUGGACCCGCGUCUGAUUAGCUAGUUGGUAGGGUAACGGCCUACCAAGGCGACGAUCAGUAGCCGGCCUGAGAGGGUGAACGGCCACAUUGGGACUGAGACACGGCCCAAACUCCUACGGGAGGCAGCAGUGGGGAAUAUUGCACAAUGGGGGAAACCCUGAUGCAGCGACGCCGCGUGAACGAUGAAGUAUUUCGGUAUGUAAAGUUCUAUCAGCAGGGAAGAUAAUGACGGUACCUGACUAAGAAGCACCGGCUAAAUACGUG
rnacentral:rRNA from 1 species